AUUUAUAUAGUUUAAAUAAAACAUUACAUUUUCAAUGUAAAAAUAAUAAUAUUUAUUUAUAAAUA
rnacentral:tRNA from 1 species